rnacentral:lncRNA from 10 species
CACACGGACACGCAUGAAAGCCUCUAGAGGGGAACACCAAGGGAGACUCAUGUCAGACUUCUGACCUGCAGAACUCUAUGUUUACUACUAGAAACAUCUGUGAGAAGGGCCAGAUGUGAAAUAGCUUGGAAAACAGUUUGCUGAGAGGUGCUCUACCAAAUGACUGCAUCAAUUAUUUUGACUUGGGAAACAGUGAAGCUAAGUUCAACACUGAAUAAAAAGACCAGUGUAAGAAGAGCUAAGGGACAAAAGAGAACCUGAAGUGGCCUUUCUCAUCUCGCUUUUGAGAGAAGAUAUGUGUAGUUUGAUUUAGAAUGAAAAACUUCUGAAAGUUUGAUGUGAGGAUACAGAGCUGGGCAGAUUCCAAGAUUAAAGAGAAGAACCACGACAUAAAGAGGUAGGAAGCCUGAGUUGUUGCUGUUUUGAGGAUGACUAGUUGUGUAUUCUGAAAAUGACCAUUUUGUUUGUCUUGAUCUGCUUUCCUCUAUCUUUAAAAUAACAGGGAUAUGGGACUAGAUCAUCUAUGACAAUGCCUCUCUUAAAAAUUUAUACCAGUAUAAUUGGCACAAUUAAGCACUGAAUAAAUUAGAUGAAACUCAGCCACAUCAAAUCCAGUACACAAGCAGCAAUAAGAGUGAAUCAGUCCCACGCAGCUAAGUGCAAUGAGAAAAGCAGUGGACACUUCUAUUUACUCCCUUCUAUUUACCUCUUUGGUGUAUUUUUGGUUAUUUCUUGGCUUUCCUAUAUCCCUAGUUUCAGAAAACCAUCUUAGCAUGGCUUCUCAGUUAUGAGUUGUCCUUGGCUAGAGAAGGUCUAGGCUGAGGUUUCUCAAUGAAUACUCAAGAGUUGUGUUGAGUGUAGUAGUUACAAGUUGGCUUCAUAGCUAUAGCACCGCGAAUUGCCACAUCUGUAGCAUAGUAUUAGUGAUUGCAAUAAUAACACUAUUUAGUGGUGCUCUAAAAUUAGAAAAGAUAAUGCCUAUGAAGUGUGUGCUCAAUAAACGUUAGACACUGUUAAAAUUAUAAUAACAAUUAUUAUUAUUUCCCAGAGUGCUUGUUAAAUUCAGAUUUCUUGGCUUCAUCCCCAUUGGCAACCUAGGAGUGUAAUUUUAGUGAGAAGAGAUUGCAGUGUGGGGCCUUCCAUGUGCAGAAUCAUGAAUCACCAUCAAUGACCUCUUUUUCAUAGCAUAAGGACAAGAGGUUUUAUAUCAAAAGAUAAAUGGGCCAUCGUCUCUUAUAAAACUUGAAUUCUACUCCAAACUCCAGGUGUGAACCUUGGUAAGUUUUUUUAAUUUCUCUCCAUCUGUACCAUUUUAAAGAGAAAGUAGUUAUUUCCUCAGGGCUCAUAGUACGGAAAGAACAAGUUAGUACAUGGAAUAUGCCUCACAGAAGCUCCUCAUCCAUUUCCCAUUAAAAGCAUUUCACAACCAUAGCCAUCAUUUUCUAUCCUAGUAUUGGUGACUUGGUUUAAUUUUGGUGUGGAAUAAUUUAUUGUGUUGAAAGAGUAUCCUAAGGCCAGCACUGUCAGAUAAAAACAUUGAAGCAGGCUGGUUGUAAAAUGGCCUUCUUUGAGAGAUGACAUUGAGUCAUCUUUUAAAUGUCUUUUUUGAAAUGAGAAAAAGCAUAGUGAGGAUGGUAUUAGAUCACAUUCUACCAACAAUUUCUCUUAUUACCUGAAGUUACUGAGUGAUAAGGUAACCUCACUGAGUCAAGUAGAGAAGCACACUGGGAAAUUUGUUUUUCUUUUUCAUAUUUGUUUUUCUGAGAUUCUUUAUAGAAUAAAAAUAUCAGCAUUUCUACACAAAGUAGAAAAAAUGUGGGUUAGCCAGUAAUUCCUACAUGUUUGUGAUAGGAAACAACUGUUGUACAGAGGGGAAUAUGGUACCAAAUAUGAUUGCAUUGAUCUGUAGAUUGAUUCAAAUAGAACUGACAUCUUAAAGGUAGCAAGUCUUUCAAGCUAUGAAAAUUGUGUAUAAACUUCCAUGUAUGUAGGUCUUCUUUAAUUUCUCUAAUGUUUUAGGUGGGAGUGUGGAAUUCAUUAGAAGUACAGAAGUUUUUAAAUCUUUUGUUAGAUUUAUUUCUGGGUAUUUGAUAUUUUAAAAUAACACUUCAUGUGGAAUAAUAUUUAAAUUAUUAUUUUCUAUUUUCUUGCUGCUAGCAUGUAAAAACACAAGUGCUUUUGCUCUAUUGCCCUUGUACCCAGCAAUCAUGGUAUAUUCACACAUUUUUAAUUUUUUCUUUGUAGAUUCUUUUGGAUUUUCUAUAUACACAAUUUGUUAACUUCGUUUUUCAUUUUCUGAUCUUGCCUUAUUUGAGAACAUCAGGAUUAAUGCUUUCAAUAUUUCAUGAUUAAAUGUGAUAUUUGCUUUUUUAUAGUUAAUCAUUAAAAUAUCAUAAAUUUCCUUUUAUUGUUAAUGUGAAGAAAUAUUUAUAAUAUUACAUAUUAAUUUCUCCUUCUGCAUCUAUAGAUAUGACAAAAGGAUUUUUCUCCUUUUAUUCAUUAUAGAAUUACAUUGUUGAGUUAUGUUAAUGAAUUUUGUUAAGUACCUUGUAUUCUUGGAAUAAACUACAAUUUGACUUUAUGCACUAUUCUAUUGGUAAAAUGUUGGAUAUAAAAUGUAUUAUUAUUAUUAUUAUUAUUUUAAGGGACAGAGUCUGACUAUGUUGCCCAAGCUGGAGUGCAGUGGCUGUCCACAGGCACAAUCCCACUGCUGAUAAGCAUGGGAGUUUUCUACUACAUUGUUUAGUAUUUUUGCAUCUAUGUUUAGUCUGUAAAUUUUUUUCUUAUAUUUUUCAGAUUUGAGUAUCAGCCUUGUAAGUUAGAAGCUGUCACUUAUAUUUUGUUUUCUGAAAGAUUUUGUUUUAAGAGUUGUAUUAUUGCUUCAUUAAAUAUUUGCAAGAAUAUGUGAGAGUAGCCAGUUAGACCUGUAGCUUAUUUACUUGGACAUAUUUUAGUGUGGAAUCAAUUACUUUUAAUAUCAAACAAUAGACAUUUUUUAUUUCUUACAGUUUUAGCAUGAUACAUUUUAUAGAUUGGAAGACACGCAGUAUUGUAAAAUAUUGGCUAUCUUCAAAUUGUCUUAUAGAUUCUACCGGAUGCUAAAUUCAAGCAAGUUUUACUUUUGUGGAAGUUGACAAACUGAUUUUGAAAUUCACUUAGAAAUGCAAAUAGACAAUAGUAGCCAUGUUACUCUAAAAAUCAAAGAAAAACUAAUGUAUUUAUAUUUCCAAACUUCAGUAAUUUUUAAAAUAUUUAAAUCUUUAAAAAUAUUUAGGCCUGGCGUGGUGGCUCACGCCUGUAAUGCCAGCACUUUGGGAGGUCGAGGCGGGCAGAUGACGAGGUCAGGAG